rnacentral:rRNA from 1 species
CAGCGCCACGAGUGGCAACCACGUUUAUUGGGCCUAAAGCGUCCGUAGCCGGUUUAAUAAAUCUCUUGUGAAAUCGUCAAGCUUAACUUGACGGCGUGCUUGAGACACUGUUAAACUUGAGACCGGGAGGGGUCAGAGGUAUUUCAGGGGGAGCGGUAAAAUGUGAUAAUCCCUGGAGGAUCACCUAUGGCGAAGGCAUCUGACCAGAACGGAUCUGACGGUGAGGGACGAAGGCUAGGGGAGCGAUCCGGAUUAGAUACCCGAGUAGUCC